CACUGCAGGACUCACAUCUGUCAGUCAACACAGCAGAAAGCACAACCACCAUGACUCUCAUCUCCAUCCUCAUCUGGAUGCUGCUCUGCUGCUGUUUUACAGGAUGCAGCAGUCAGGUGACUGUGACUCAACCUCCAGUAGAGAGAAUUACUCCAGGAUCCACUGUCACUCUGACCUGUAAGACUAGCCAGGCUGUUUAUAGAUGGUCUGAUGGUGAUGAGGGUAUAGCCUGGUAUCAACACAAAUCUGGACAGACUCCGAAGCUCCUUGUAAAAUAUGCGGAAAAGCUUGUGUCAGGAACUCCAUCUCGGUUUAGUGGCAGUGGAAGCAGCUCUGACUUCACGUUGACCAUCAGUGGAGUUCAGACUGAAGAUGCAGCAGUUUACUACUGUCAGAGUUACCACAGCCGUGGAGUGUUGACACAGUGAUUUAUGGUCGUACAAAAACCUCCUCAGUCAGACUGCAGAGACUCUGAACUGUUACAGCAGGAACCAAGUGCAGCUGCUGAAGAGGAAGAAACUCUGACACAGACCACUGAACACAGAGCUGACA